rnacentral:rRNA from 1 species
GUGAGGAAUAUUGGUCAAUGGGCGGGAGCCUGAACCAGCCAAGUCGCGUGAAGGAAGAAGGAUCUAUGGUUCGUAAACUUCUUUUGCAGGGGAAUAAAGUGCAGGACGUGUCCUGUUUUGUAUGUACCCUGAGAAUAAGGAUCGGCUAACUCCGUGCCAGCAGCCCCGGUAAUACGGAGGAUCCGAGCGUUAUCCGGAUUUAUUGGGUUUAAAGGGUGCGUAGGUGGUUUGAUAAGUCAGCGGUGAAAGUUUGCAGCUUAACUGUAAAAAUGCCGUUGAAACUGUCGGACUUGAGUGUAAAUGAGGUAGGCGGAAUGCGUGGUGUAGCGGUGAAAUGCAUAGAUAUCACGCAGAACUCCGAUUGCGAAGGCAGCUUACUAAGCUACAACUGACACUGAAGCACGAAAGCGUGGGGAUCAAACAGGAUUAGAUACCCUAGUAGUCC